GAGGGUAUAGUUCAAGUGGUAAGUGCAUGCUUAGCAUGCAUAAGGUCCUGGGUUCAAUCCCCAGUACUUCUA
rnacentral:tRNA from 1 species